rnacentral:rRNA from 1 species
AUGCAAUGGCAGUGGGACAUGCAUCAAUCGCAGAAAAAAAAUAAACAACAUAUUUUUAUGUUGCCCCGUCCCCCUUCUGAACCAAUAUCAUAUACUUCAGCUAGUGGCAAUCACCUUGAGCAAAUGUGGGACCCCGGAGGCCUUGCGAGCUAUAUAUGCAGUACAUGUGCAUUGACUUCCCUGAUGCAUUACUUCUUUGAAGUCUGGCUUGCAUAUGCGACUCCUAUAUGCAUCCAGUUGAGAAUGCAGAAGCCAAUGGCCAGCAACGAACGAAAUAAUUGGAUGACCAUUCAUUUCUUGUCUGGAAUAUGGGAGCUUGACUGCAGACUUGACAAUUUCAUAGAGCUACGGGGGGUUCCUGCUGCCAUUAUAUUGCCAGUCAUGCAAGUCCACGAGGAGCGGAAAAAUCUGUGUGUGGGGCGUAGCUGGUGA